AGACAAACUUUUCUGUGAAGAUUGUGUGGAGAGAUUAUAAAAGUCUGCCUGUUAUACUGCACUGUGAAGGUCAAAUAAAAGAGCUGAGGAAGGAGAAGAUGCUGUAUCAAAAACGUGCAACCCUCUAUUUCAGGCAUCCUUUUAAAGUACCUUUUCUGCAGAGCUUUCUUCUGCAGGAGACAUUUACUGUUGACAAAAAGCAAAAGCACUAUUUAAUGGAAACAAAAGUUUUGAUAAAUGGGGUGGAGGAAACUGUUCAGACUCUUAUACUUGGUUACCAACCUGAAAACCCCUAUGUAAGUUAUCCAAGCACUCCCUUUAGUCUGAUAUACCGGAACAACCUGCAAAUGAGUGGUUUACUGCAUAUUACUUAUGUUUGUUGCAUUUUCCCUCAAACUUCUUUUUAGAUUUGUGCUGGCUUAACUCAUCCUUAUAACUACAGGACAUUUCCCAAAGAUGUUGAAAUGUGUAUUUUAACUCUAAGUCAUCAAAAUGUGAAGCAUGAGCUUGAGACUGUCUUAAAGGUGAAUAAGGAAGAUGUUCUCAGUUUUCUAGGGAGGUAUCAGGACAAAUCCAGUGGGGCAGAUUUUAGACAUCUUUUACACAUGGAUGUGACACACUCAUUCCAGCUUGAGUUUCCACAAGCAAUGGGCCUAAGUGGGGAGCUGUUCUCCAGGCAGACUAAACUGGAACACUUUGACUGCGGUGCGAGUGUAAAAGUCAUCAUUAACAAGAACACGUCUUCACAGGUCAGUCCUGGUCAUUACAGUCUUGUUGCUUGAACUUGAAGAUUUUGAAGUUUACUAUUUUG
rnacentral:lncRNA from 1 species